UAAAAGAAGAGAAAGAACAUUCUGAACACGUGUGGUUCCAUAAACACUGUAUGUGGAGAACAGGGAAUGACAGGAGCCUGACAUUUAAAAAGGUGAACAAACUCCAAUGUGACCUGAAUGAGAAGGGCCCUGGAAACGACUACUGCUCUGAGUCUAAAUGCAGAUCUCUGUGCUGAAGCAGCCUGAAACUCCCUACAUUACCUGCAAAGUUAUCCAUGCUGUGGAGACAGAAAUUGGAAUUCAGAGCUUCCAAGAGAACCAGGACUUGCAGGACCAAGAUCCCAGAAAAAAGAGACCUGCAGAGAAAAGAGCCAAUCUUCUGAAUAUAAUCUGCCAUCAAUGCAUUUGCUGACCCCUAACCAGGGCAAGUGUGGUGAGAAGCUCUGAGAAACCAUGCAGAAAGCAGCUUCUCAAAAGCUAAACAUUUAAGCAGAGAAUGUAGUGAUUAGACGGUGCCAGGAAGACAGAAUUUUGAGCUCACCAACAAGGAA
rnacentral:lncRNA from 1 species